ACCUACAAGCGGUGGAUCACUC
rnacentral:rRNA from 2 species